UCUAAAGAAAAUUCAAAGAAAUUAUGAAAAAAAUAUGAAAAAAUCUUAAUGAAAUUCAAAUGAAGUAUUAAAAUAAAAUCCAAAAUAUAUCUUAAAUAAAUUUCAACCAAAUCUUACUUUAAUUCUAGUUAAGAUUCUAAUAGUCUUUACUUAAAUCCUAAGUCAAAUCCUAACUAAAUCCUAAACAAAUACUAUAUCGUAACCAAUUCCUAAAUCCUAAACUAAAUCCUAAUCAAAUUAACCUAAUCCUAGGGAAAUUUAGAACUUCAAUAUCUAUCAAUUAUACCAUUGAUCUUGCUUAAGAUUUUACACGCCUUUCAACAACUAAGUUGGUAAGAAGCACUUAAAAUUUGAAGAAAAUCAAACUUAUUGAACAAAAGAUUAAUCCUAAAUUCCACUCGAGUUUUGGCCGACCUCCUAUUUCAAUCUAAAUGUUGAACUUCUAGUGCAAAUAUCUUCUUUCUAAACUAUUGGAUUGCAUCCAAAAUACAUUCAAAUUAUGUAAAAUCAAGUCUAAUCUGUACACAAAAAAAUUCACUUCGAUCCAAUUAAUAAAUUACUAAAGAUCUUAAAAAUACUUACU
rnacentral:lncRNA from 1 species